rnacentral:rRNA from 1 species
GUCGGGACAGCAGCGAAGCCUGACCAGCACGCCGCGUGCACGAUGAAGGUCUUCGGAUCGUAAAGUGCUUUUCUGAGGAAUGAGAAAGGACAGUACCUCAGGAAUAAGCCUCGGCUAACUACGUGCCAGCAGCCGCGGUAAUAGACACAGCCGCGG